GUGGGCACCGUGCGCUGCUCGAGCUUGCAGGAAAGCCUGUCUCUCCGAGUGUGGCUGGGGAGGGGGCUGGGUUUCUUUUUGUUUCUAGAAGUCCCCUUCACCCUCGUUUGCCCCCGCGUACCGCCGAGAGGAUCGCGUGGAAUGGCUGCAGGGCUCCAGGGCGCACCCCACCCCACGCACGCCCUCUGGGGCGCCAGAAGGCGCGGCCCCGGGGGGAUCCCUGUUCCCAGGAGGAAGCGCGGCGUGAAGCAGAAGAUGUGGCCCAGAUUAAAGGUGGAUCUUCACCCUCAAAGAUCCAGAUUAGAACUCCUGGCUGGUGACAUGUGGAUGACACUCUAUAACUAUCAGAUGGUCCCACAAAUACCAACAUUGCUGCUCCAUCUGAAUCAAAUCCUCCAUACCCACAAGGGUUGUUUGUCCUCUUUUCUGCCUGAUGUCACAGCUGGGAUACCUUGAUGUCACAAAGUGGAAGAUGAAGAGGCAUAGUCUAACAUGUGGAAGAAAAUGUGAUGCUGGGGUCCAGUUUUUCUUGAGUGGUUGUGCAUUUCUAUCUGCUUUUCUUAGCUCUGUUCAUUUCCCUGCUCCAGUAUUCACUUGCUGUUGCCAGGGACCCAUGAGCCUCGGAGUUGAAGUCAAGAUAGCUCCCUGGCUCUGGAUUUUGCAGUAAUGAAUGCACCCACCAAGGUAAUAAUAAACUCGCAGUCUCAUUA
rnacentral:lncRNA from 1 species